rnacentral:rRNA from 1 species
AUUGAACGCUGGCGGCAGGCCUAACACAUGCAAGUCGAACGGUAACAGGAAGAAGCUUGCUUCUUUGCUGACGAGUGGCGGACGGGUGAGUAAUGUCUGGGAAACUGCCUGAUGGAGGGGGAUAACUACUGGAAACGGUAGCUAAUACCGCAUAACGUCGCAAGCCCAAAGAGGGGGACCUUCGGGCCUCUUGCCAUCGGAUGUGCCCAGAUGGGAUUAGCUAGUAGGUGGGGUAACGGCUCACCUAGUCGACGAUCCCUAGCUGGUCUGAGAGGAUGACCAGCCACACUGGAACUGAGACACGGUCCAGACUCCUACGGGAGGCAGCAGUGGGGAAUAUUGCACAAUGGGCGCAAGCCUGAUGCAGCCAUGCCGCGUGUAUGAAGAAGGCCUUCGGGUUGUAAAGUACUUUCAGCGGGGAGGAAGGGAGUAAAGUUAAUACCUUUGCUCAUUGACGUUACCCGCAGAAGAAGCACCGGCUAACUCCGUG